CAAAUACUCCCUCCGUCCAAAAUUACUAGUUGCAGAAAUGAAUGUAUCUAGACGUAUUUUAGUUCUAGUCUUCUAGAUACAUCCAUUUUUAUCCAUUUCUGCGACAAGUAAUUCAGGACGGAGGAAGUAUAAG
rfam:Triticum aestivum genome assembly, contig: Triticum_aestivum_CS42_TGACv1_scaffold_320277_4BL